rnacentral:rRNA from 1 species
GGGGGGGGGGGGGGGGGGGGCGGGGGGGGGGGGGGCGGGCGGGGCGGUGGGGUGGGGGGGCGCGGGGGGGGGUGGCGGGGGGGGACCUGCCCUUAGGUUCGGAAGACCUGCGCGAAGGGGUGGCUAAUACCGGCUAAUGUCUUCGGAGCACAGUUUUCUCGCCUUUGGAUGGGCCCGCGUUGGAUUAGCGAGUUGGUAGGGUAAAAGCCUACCAAGGCGACGAUCCAUAGCUGGGCUGAGAGGAUGAUCAGCCACACUGGGACUGAGACACGGCCCAGACUCCUACGGGAGGCAGCAGUGGGGAAUAUUGGACAAUGGGCGAAAGCCUGAUCCAGCAAUGCCGCGUGAGUGAUGAAGGCCUUAGGGUUGUAAAGCUCUUUUACCCGGGAUGAUAAUGACAGUACCGGGAGAAUAAGCUCCGGCUAACUCCGUG